CCUACGGGUGGCAGCAGUGAGGAAUAUUGGUCAAUGGGCGAGAGUCUGAACCAGCCAAGUCGCGUGAAGGAUGAAUGCUCUAUGGGUUGUAAACUUCUUUUAUAUGGGAAUAAAAUGAGGCACGUGUGCCUUUUUGUAUGUACUUUAUGAAUAAGCAUCGGCUAACUCCGUGCCAGCAGCCGCGGUAACACGGAGGAUGCGAGCGUUAUCCGGAUUUAUUGGGUUUAAAGGGAGCGUAGGUGGUUUGUUAAGUCAGUUGUGAAAGUUUGUGGCUCAACCAUAAAAUUGCCGUUGAAACUGGUAGACUUGAGUAUAGUUGAGGUAGGCGGAAUGCGUGGUGUAGCGGUGAAAUGCAUAGAUAUCACGCAGAACUCCGAUUGCGAAGGCAGCUUACUAAACUGUAACUGACACUGAAGCACGAAAGCGUGGGGAUCAAACAGGAUUAGAUACCCUAGUAGUC
rnacentral:rRNA from 1 species